rnacentral:rRNA from 1 species
UACGAAGGGGGCUAGCGUUGCUCGGAAUUACUGGGCGUAAAGGGCGCGUAGGCGGCACUGUUAGUCAGGCGUGAAAGUCCUGGGCUCAACCUGGGAACUGCGCUUGAUACGGCAGAGCUAGAGGAUGGAAGAGGCUCGCGGAAUUCCCAGUGUAGAGGUGAAAUUCGUAGAUAUUGGGAAGAACACCGGUGGCGAAAGCGGCUUCCUGGUCCGACACCGACGUUCAGGCACGAAAGCGUGGGGAGCAAACAGG